rnacentral:rRNA from 1 species
GACGAACGCUGGCGGCGUGCUUAACACAUGCAAGUCGAACGGUAAGGCCCUUCGGGGUACACGAGUGGCGAACGGGUGCGUAACACGUGGGUGAUCUGCCCGGCCCUUCGGGAUAAUCCCGGGAAACUGGGUCUACUACCGGAGAGGACCCCUGCCUCCAUGGGUGGUGGGGGGAAGCUUUUGCGGUGUGGGAUGGGCCCGCGGCCUAUCAGCUUGUUGGGGGGGUGAUGGCCUACCAAGGCGACGACGGGUAGCCGGCCUGAGAGGGUGACCGGCCACACUGGGACUGAGAUACGGCCCAGACUCCUACGGGAGGCAGCAGUGGGGAAUAUUGCACAAUGGGCGAAAGCCUGAUGCAGCGACGCCGCGUGAGGGAUGACGGCCUUCGGGUUGUAAACCUCUUUCAGCACCGACGAAGCGCAAGUGACGGUAGGUGCAGAAGAAGGACCGGCCAACUACGUGCCAGCAGCCGCGGUAA